rnacentral:rRNA from 1 species
UACAGAGGGUGCGAGCGUUAAUCGGAAUUACUGGGCGUAAAGCGUGCGUAGACGGUUUCGUAAGUCGGGUGUGAAAUCCCCGGGCUCAACCUGGGAAUUGCAUUCGAAACUGCGAGGCUAGGGUACGGAAGAGGGAAGCGGAAUUUCUGGUGUAGCGGUGAAAUGCGCAGAUAUCAGGAGGAACACCGGUGGCGAAGGCGGGUCUCUGGGCCGAUACUGACGCUGAGGAGCGAAAGCGUGGGGAGCGAACAGG